AUUCAGCUGACGAGUCCCAAAUAUAAUGAAACGUACGUUCUGGAU
rnacentral:hammerhead_ribozyme from 1 species